CCAAUAGCGUAUAUUAAAGUUGUUGCAGUUAAAAAGCUCGUAGUUGAAUUUCGAGAUCAAAUUGUUGGUCGUGCCUUGGUACGUACUGGCAUUAUUGGUUUCUCCCUUCUGAAGAACCAUGAUGUCAUUAAUUUGGUGUCAUGGGGAAUCAGGACUGUUACUUUGAAAAAAUUAGAGUGUUUAAAGCAGGCUCGCGCUUGAAUACAUUAGCAUGGAAUAAUGAAAUAGGACGUUUAAUUCUAUUUUGUUGGUUUCUAGGAUUGACGUAAUGAUUAAUAGGGAUAGUUGGGGGCAUUAGUAUUCAAUUGUCAGAGGUGAAAUUCUUGGAUUUAUUGAAGACUAACUACUGCGAAAGCAUUUGCCAAGGAUGUUUUCACUAAUCAAGAACGAAAGUUAGGGGAUCGAAGACGAUCAGAUACCGUCGUAGUCUUAACCAUAAACUAUGCCGACUAGGGAUCGGAUGAUGUUAAUUUUUUAAUGACUCAUUCGGCGCCUUACG
rnacentral:rRNA from 1 species